AUGCAAACAAUGACUCCCACCAAUUUAUCGGAUCUCUCUACUCUUCGAGAAGGAAAUAGAAAUCCUAAUGCGAUAAAAGAUUCUUAGUGGAUGUUGCAGUCCCACUGAUGACAUGCACCUCACCUAACAAUCAUUGGUAACAUGCACACCAAUGCAUAGGCAACUCUUUACCCAGAUGUUUCUCUAAGUAUGUUGCAGCAACUUGGUCUCUAAGUCAUGUGGGCUCACCUAAUAGUUAUUGUCCAUAUUUUUUAGUUAAGCCCGACCCACC
rnacentral:lncRNA from 1 species